GUGUGUGUGUGUAUAUAUAUAUAUAAUGAUGUCAAAAGAGAUAUUUUAUGUAGGUAGACCUCACAUAAGAUUUGAAGUCAUUACAAAUGACCACUGACCAUUCCUUUCACCCCUUCCUGCGCCAUUCUCUCUCUCUCUCUCUCUCUCUCUCUGCAAUUUCUAUUUUCUUUUUCUUUUUCUUUUUCUUUUUCCUUCUCAAUUUCAAGCUUAGAUCCACACAUUUCCGUUUAGAAUUUGACUUUGCCAUAGAAGGCAAAGUUAAUGAGCAUAACAAGAGUUUCGAUUUAAUCAGAACAAAGCUUGAUUUGGAGCACUUUGGGAUCUCGAGUUUUAGGGCUGAAUUGAGACUUUUGUUUUAAAUUAAGGUCAUGGGAAAUAGUUGAUGGAUGUUAAUCCUCCAUGGGCAUAGACGGGACUAGAAAGGAUUUCUUUUGCCACCUUGUAUUACGAUGUACAUUUUGUAAAGUUUUGGCAAAUUUUAUGUAAUGGCCUUAUAGUUGUAACUUCGGAAAUGUAAUCAUAUUCUUUUGAAACA